CGAACGUGAAGCACACCGCUGACACGCCAAGCCAAGGGGUCCUUAAUACGCUGUCGUUUCAACUGUCAACCCGUUUGCGCUGACUGUGGCCUCCUGGCUGUGCAAACUGCAAAGCGAGUGAGCCACAAAAGAAAAACCAGGGCUAAAGCUUGACGAACAAAACAAGUCUCUCUCUCUUGAAUGUAUCUCUUGUGAGAGUCUUAUUUUUGUUAUUUUAAUUUUUACCUCUCCUAGAAGUCUAGAACCGAAACGGUUUCGUUUCAUGCUGAAAGAAAAUAGAUAUUGCUUUCAAGAAAUUCAAUCAGAUCUGUACAAUACAAAUAACUAGUUAUCCAUCUGUCCAUUUUUGCACGGAUUCAAUACAUAUCCUCUUUUUGGUUCGUACUCUCUCUUCUCUUCUCCUCUCCUCUCCUUGCCUUUUCUUUCUUUUCUUUUUUUCUGAUUUUUUUUUGUCAUAUAGAGAUUGAAUUCUGUUUUAUCUAUUUGCUUCUGCUUUAUGUGAUCAUUUUGGCUUUUGAUCGUUUCUGAUUUGUUAUGCAGCCCUAUGUUGGUGUUUUUGCUUUAAUUAUUUGCUUAAUUUAUUUGUUGAUUAUUGCAGGAUUUUUCUAGUUCUUAUCUUUCAAGUUUGAAAUUUCUUCACUGGUUGCAAAUUUGUGGUCUGAUUCACAGGAUUUUAUAAUCUAAUGCCGAGGAGACACUGAUAUCAGAAGUUUAGUUAUCAUGUUUGUGCUUAUUUGUAUUUAUGUUUUGACUGUAGUUGUUAAUGAACUUCUAUUACUUUUUUUUUUAUACAUGAUCCGCUUAUCACUGUGCUUUUUGUACAAUCUUGUUUCAUUUCCUUGUAAACUUAAAGCCAGUUUGCUUGUAAAGGUUGUUUUCCAGGGAAGCUACCAUUUUGUUGUCUUAUGCCUGUUAAAGCGAUGUUUUUGUGGUAAAUUUUAAGGGUCGCAGGCAUUUAUUAUUAAAGUUGCAUCUCAUAACAAUCUCUCAAUUUAACUGGUUAUUCAUUGGUUAAUGUUUUGGAAAAAGUACCAUAACUUCCAAAAGUAAAUUUGAUUUGCCUUUAUAGAACGAUGCACGAGAAGAUGUUAAAUGCUAAGUUGCAAACAAAAAUGUGCUUUUGGUUUUUAUUACUUAGGCAUUUGCUUAUGGGUCUUUCACAGUAAGAUGAUCUUGCAAAGUAUAAUUCUGUGUGUUUAUUGUUGGAUGUUGUUGAAUCAUUUUUGGCUUUUUUUGGUAUUUAUAACUUGUUCCUGUGAUCAAGUUUUUUUUAUCUAUACUAUAUAUAUUAAUAAUUUAUUUGUAAUUAUCUUAAUCUUGUGAAGAAGAUUUAGAUUAUUUAGUCUUCAUUGUUUGAUUGAUUGAUCACAUAAAAAGUUCUAGCAAUCUUUGUUUUUGUUUAAUUAAAGUAAUCUUCAUUCAGUCUUGCUUAUGACUUUACAUUGUAAUUCUGUUGAGAAUUUUUGAAUACUCUACCAGUUUGUCCUACUUGCUUCAUCCUUGGUGGAUUUUUUUGUGGAGUUUUUCAAGUUUCCUUUCUUAAUUAGUAUACAAACUAAUUUUAACAUUGAUUUGUAUGUAAGCAUAAUUAAACACUUGCUAUUCCUAAGUUCUUCCCCAGUUUUUUCCUUCUUGAAUGCUAUCAUGUUUCUAUAUAUAGAACUAGUUAUUCAUAUUUUAGAACUUCAAAAUGCAAAUUCCUUGUGGUAUAAUCAGUAGUUUGAAAUUUGUCAUAAACAAAAAGUUCAAGCCUAGCUUCCACUAUGCUGAAAAGAUUUUUUUUUUUUGACAAAUUUCACAUGAUCAAAUUCUAGGACUGCAUAUUCCCUGAAUCUCCGUUGAGCUUUACGUUCUUUCUUAGUCUCAUUGACUGUUAGGGCUUAAAGUUUUCAUCAUUUAUUCCGACUCAUGUUCAUGCUGACAAGGCAACCAAGGUUUACUUUUAUCUCAUUUAAGAACAAGCUUAACAGUCUAUCCUUGGAUGCCGAUUCAAUGCUAACCACAGUUUCUUAUGCACAGAAGAUGUGUUAGAACAAAGAAGAGUGAUGGCAGUAGCAGAAGCGAGGGCUGUGUGGCAAAGAACAGCUAAUCGUUGUUUUGUCCAAGAAGAUGCCAAAAGGGCUCCCAAGUUAGCUUGCUGCCAAUCAUCAUCUUCAUCAUCAAAACAGGUUGAUGGGGUACCAACAAAUGCAGCAGACAUACCAGAUAAUCCUGCUGUAGGUUUCAUGCCUCUCCCCAGGAACUCCUCAUAUUCCAACCUUUCCCCUGAUACAAGAUGGUGGCUUCAGCUGCAACCUAGCUAUGGGUACCAAAAAGGUUUGACAUGUGAUCAGUUAAAUGCCUUGGAGGCUGAGAUGGAAAGCCUGAGAGCUGAAAUUGUAAACUCACCCUCUAAACUUGGUGAUGUUCUCCCACAUGAUGACAGACACAGCACAUGUUUAGAUGGCAACAUGAAUAGUGAAUCUUCCUUUGAUGCACAUUGUAGGAUCUCUGCUGAUAGAAUGAUUAAUGAUCCUGAAGUUAAUAAUCAAGAGGCAAAUACUCUAUAUGAUAAGAAUGACCUAGAAUUUAUUGAACUUAAGGACACAAGAGAGAACUUCAAAUGGAUGGAUAUGGAUCCAAUUGAAUGUCCCCAAAAAAGCAAUGAGUAUUGUUUUGAUCCAGAAUCACCUUGGAUUGGGGGUGCGAAGAAUGUGCCAUGGUGGCGUACAACAGAUAAAGAUGACUUGGCCUCUUUGGUUGCACAGAAGUCUCUUGACUACAUUGAGAAUUGUGACCUUCCCCCACCUCAAAAGCUGUGUGUUAGGAGAUAUCCAUGUGGCCGUCCUGUAUCUUCUGAUCAGGUGCAUGACUGUCCCAAUUCUGAAACCAUGAAAGGAAGACAGAAGACUGCAAUUGAAGGGCAGUUACAAAGCAGUUCUGAAAAGCCUUUCAGUUAUACCGCAUCUCAUAAAGAUACAACAGAAAUUGGACAACUUCCUCAGGGUGAUCCGUCUAAGGCUCAGCUCCUGGAAGCACUCCGUCAUUCUCAAACACGAGCCAGGGAAGCUGAAAAGGUGGCAAGGCAGGCCUGUGCUGAAAAGGAACACGUCAUUAAGCUGUUCUUUAGACAAGCCUCACAGCUUUUUGCCUAUAAGCAAUGGUUCCAGUUGCUGCAGCUUGAAACCCUUUAUUACCAGGUGAAGAAUGGUGGCCAGCCAAUGUCCACUCUAUUCCCUGUAGUUCUUCCAUGGAUGCCUCGCAAAGGCAGGAAACUUCAAAAGAGCUGGCAAAAGUCCACAAGGAGCAAACGAGGCAAGCUUGGCCGACCAAGUCAUGACAUUAGCAAGUAUGCUGUUGCAUUUGCGCUGGGGUUGAGUCUUGUUGGUGCUGGCUUGCUCCUGGGAUGGACUGUAGGGUGGAUGUUGCCUUUGUGAGUUUCAGCAAAAUUUCCUACUUACUAAAAUUUAUUUGAGGGAAACUGGUUGGAUUAAAUCUUAGAUGUGUUAGUUUUUUUUUUUUGUAUAUUCUGCUUUGUUUGCGUACCUGGUGUACAACUGAUUUAGGGGUUGGGGUAAUGUGAAUAUGGUGGGGUAGAUGUUCUGUCAAUGGAAAAUCUCAUCAAAUGUCCCUUUUUGAUUAUCUGUACAUUUGAUUUAAAUCUUAUUUUCAGUGUCUAUGCAGGAAAUCCUCAAGGCAUUGUAAAUUUGGGAAAUAGACACUGCCUUGCUUUUGAUAAUUGUCACUUUUCUACUGAUGUUUU
rnacentral:misc_RNA from 1 species